rnacentral:rRNA from 1 species
UACGGGGGGGGCAAGCGUUGUUCGGAAUUACUGGGCGUAAAGGGCUCGUAGGCGGCCAACUAAGUCAGACGUGAAAUCCCUCGGCUUAACCGGGGAACUGCAUCUGAUACUGGAUGGCUUGAGUUCGGGAGAGGGAUGCGGAAUUCCAGGUGUAGCGGUGAAAUGCGUAGAUAUCUGGAGGAACACCGGUGGCGAAGGCGGCAUCCUGGACCGACACAGACGCUGAGGAGCGAAAGCCAGGGGAGCAAACGGG